rnacentral:rRNA from 1 species
UACGGGGGGAGCAAGCGUUGUUCGGAUUUACUGGGCGUAAAGGGCGCGUAGGCGGCCACCGCAAGUCGACUGUGAAAUCUCCGGGCUUAACCCGGAAAGGUCAGCCGAUACUGCGGGGCUAGAGUGCAGAAGGGGCAACUGGAAUUCUCGGUGUAGCGGUGAAAUGCGUAGAUAUCGGGAGGAACACCAGAGGCGAAGGCGACACGCUGGGCCGUACCUGACACUGAUGCGCGACAGCAUGGGGAGCAAACAGG